ensembl:lncRNA
CUUUAAUAGUUGCCGCUUUACAUAUAAAUGGUUCUGCUAUUCGGCAUGAACGGGUAGAGUAAACACUCGCUCACAGGUCUUUGGCAGCAGAACGAGGACUCUGGUGUUCAAGGACAUCCCCAAAUGCUCUUUAGACUCCUGCGCAGAUGAGAAAAGGCGAAAAUAAAAGAGGAAUGCAAGUCAAGUCUUUUGAGUUUGUACGAGAAUGUGAGAGCUACUUUUGUUUCUAAGACCAUCCAAAUAUUUUCUCCAGAGAAGGUGGGAGUCACUUUGAGAGGAGCCCCCCCCCCACCAACACAACACUGUUGGCUUAACACCGCCUGGAAUAGCUCCACCAAUUUAAACCUGUGUUUUUUUUGGCGUUUUUUUUGUGUCAGUAAAUCCAACAUGGCACGAAGCUUAAGAGAAAAUCAACGGCGCCUUGACGGGAAGGAGAAAUGAAUGAGGACGGUGACGUAUUCAGCAGUGGAGAAGGGCUUCCAUGUGCAGGCCGGGAGCAGGUUUCCUGAAGAAACAACGAAAAUGGAGGCUUCAAUAAAUAAUUCACUCAA